rnacentral:tRNA from 1 species
GAGAUAUUAGUAAAAUAUGAAUAUUACAUCACCUUGUCGAGGUGAAAUUGCUGGUUAAAUCCCAG